rnacentral:lncRNA from 1 species
GUAAUAAUGUUACCUGGUCCGAGAAAAGAUUAACCAGUCAGGCAAGCGUUUUACAAGCAAGUUAUUGAGACUAUACAGCAUGAAAAUAACUAAGUUUUAUUAGCACCCGUUUUUUUAACCGGUUUCAACCCGAACAGAACCGACGUUUUGUAUACCGUCAACAUUCUCGAUCUUUGAAACUGGUUUUAAAACCAGUUUAAACCGGAAAAAAAGUUUUUUUUUUUUUUUGCCCAAAUCAGUUUUUAAGCAAACCAAAUCAAUUAAUACCCGUUCAGGUCCGCAAACAUAUCUACACAAAAUAAAUGCAAAAUUAAUAAACAAACGUGUUUUCAUAUGAUGCAAUGACCUCAUUAACACCGGGUUUUUUUUAAACUGAACCGGCGGUUUAAUAAGGGUAUUUACUUAAGAUUCACAAUAAAAUGCAGUAUAAAUAGAAAAGUAAACGUUUAAAAUCUAAGGAUGAUCAAAAGAUAUACCUGGGAUUCUAUCAUGUCGGUUGUAAAGUAUCCAUCAAAGUAAAAGUAACCAUCAAUCAUACCCACCAAAGUCCUGAAAAGUGAAAAGAUUCCAAUUGAAGUAAUAUGUCAAGGUGUUCGUUAAUGAUGCCAAAAAGUAAUUGUGUUCUCGGUAUGGUGAAACAAUGUCGAUUACUCGAAGUAACAAUGGAGAUGCAGUUACUUAACUUGUUAUUUGUGUAG